rnacentral:lncRNA from 1 species
GUAAAGUCAAUCUAGUUUCUUUUUCUGUAGCAAAGGAGGAAGGAACAAACAACAAAUUAAUCAGACAGGAAGCGAAUACCGCAGAAGGACGUCUGCCUCUGACUCAGUGUGUCACACUGAACAGGCCAGAGCUGGUCCAAAAUGGCUGACCAGGCAGGACCCCAUCUCUGCUUUGGAAGAUGAUGCCUUGUUCAGGGGUGGUUUUCUCUCUCAGCUCAUGUCUUGCUUGUUCUCUGUCUGCCUGUGUCCCUGAUAAUGCCUUCCUACAGUUCCUUUUAACGGUAAGAGAAAUCGUAUUCAAACUGAAUUUAUUUUAUCAGUGAGAGGGAAGAACUAAACGGUUUUUAAUGGGCCAUCAUAUGUGGAGAUGCAAUUAUUUAACUUUUCGGUAGAAGACCAUGUGAUUUUUUUUCCUGUUGCCCAUUUUGGUGAUUGUGGGUGAUUGACAACUUGUGUUUUUAGCCAAGCUGUAAGCAAGAUUUGAAGUAGAAUUUUCCUGACCAUUGGACAGAUUUGGAUCUAG